rnacentral:rRNA from 1 species
UUCCAGACUCCUACGGGAGGCAGCAGUGAGGAAUAUUGGUCAAUGGCCGAGAGGCUGAACCAGCCAAGUCGCGUGAGGGAAGAAUGUCCUAAGGAUUGUAAACCUCUUUUGUCGGGGAGCAAAAAGGCUCUGCGGAGUCGUAUUGAGAGUACCCGAAGAAAAAGCAUCGGCUAACUCCGUGCCAGCAGCCGCGGUAAUACGGAGGAUGCGAGCGUUAUCCGGAUUUAUUGGGUUUAAAGGGUGCGCAGGCGGCGUGUCAAGCAAGCGGUAAAAUAGCGGGGCUCAACCCCGUCGAGCCGUCGGAACUGCCGGGCUAGAGUGGGCGAGAAGUGCGCGGAAUGCGUGGUGUAGCGGUGAAAUGCAUAGAUAUCACGCAGAACUCCGAUUGCGAAGGCAGCUUACCAAUCUAUAUCUGACGUUGAGGCACGAAAGCGUGGGGAGCAAACAGGAUUAGAUACCCCGGUAAC